rnacentral:sRNA from 1 species
GCCAGGUGCAGGGGUGCUCACUUGUAAUCCCAGUGACUCUGGAGGCUGAGGCAGGAGGAUCACAGGUUGGAGGGCAGCCUCAGAAAUUUAGUAAGAUUCUGUUUCAA